AAGCCGCUAAAGGUGGUUGUGCCCGAAAGGGAGCCGUAACACAGGUGCUGCAUGGCUGUCGCUCAGCUCGAUGAUCGUGAGAUGUUGGGUUAAGUCCCGCAACGAGCGCAACCCUUGCCGUUAAUUGCCAUCAUUUAGUUGGGCACUUUAACGGGACUGCCGGUGACAAACCGGAGGAAGGUGGGGAUGACGUCAAGUCCUCAUGGCCCUUAUGGGUAGGGCUUCACACGUCAUACAAUGGUCGGUACAGAGGGUAGCCAACCCGCGAGGGGGAGCCAAUCUCAGAAAGCCGAUCGUAGUCCGGAUCGGAGUCUGCAACUCGACUCCGUGAAGUCGGAAUCGCUAGUAAUCGCGGAUCAGCAUGUCGCGGUGAAUACGUUCCCGGGCCUUGUACACACCGCCCGUCACACCAUGGGAGUGGGUUCCACC
rnacentral:rRNA from 1 species